ACAAACUACUUGCUUCCACUUCCCCGCCCGGGAUGAGGAGUCUCCACGACGGGGAAAGGUCGCACUGACAGAGAAGGAAGUUACACGAAGUGGUAGUGGUCGGACCCGAGCCUCGAGCUCAGUACACGCGGGGGAAAAGGAAGCGGGCGGCCUCUGGAGAAACGGGGAUGGAGCUGCAGAUGCGAGCCCGCGAGGCAGGCUCCGUGGUGCCCGGGCACCGGCAGGAAGAAUGGAGGAGGGGAGGCGAGGCUGCGAGGUGCCGGGGAGCCGGGCGGCGGUCCGGCCCGCGGCCGACCCCACCCCAGCCCGCGCUCGGGACCCUCCCAGCCCCGGCACCCGGCGUGCGUUCCGCGUGCGCCGACUCUCCCCGGAGGAACAGCCACCGUCUCACACCCGGGGACUGGAGAAAUCCGGCAACUUUGCGCGAGAAAUGCUUCCCACCCUGCAGCACGCCGAGAAAGAAAAAAAUGUCAGGCGAUGACGGCGGAGGAAGGAUGACUUACCCAUGUUGCUCCCCGAGGGUGGAGUCUCGCUCUGUCGCCCAGGCUGGAGUGUAAUGGUGCUAUCUCGGCUCACUGCAAGCUCUGCCUCCUGGGUUCACACCAUUCUGCUGCCUCAGCCUCCCGAGUAGCUGGGACUACAGGCGCCCGCCACCACGCCUGGCUAAUUUUUUGUAUUUUUAGUAGAGAAGGGGUUUCUCUGUGUUAGCCAGGAUGGUCUCCAUCUCCUGACCUCGUGAUCCACCCGCCUUGUCCUCUCAAAGUGCUGGGAUUACAGGUGUGAGCCACCGCGCCUGGCUGGUUCCAUGAUGUAAUUUUCAAUAAACAUCAUUAACUUGA
rnacentral:lncRNA from 1 species